rnacentral:tRNA from 1 species
GGUUAUAGCUCAGUGGUAGAGUGCUUGCCUAGCACAUGUGAGGCACUGAGUUCAAUUCUCAGCACCA